CCUACGGGAGGCAGCAGUGAGGAAUAUUGGUCAAUGGGCGAGAGCCUGAACCAGCCAAGUCGCGUGAGGGAAGACGGUCCUAUGGAUUGUAAACCUCUUUUGCCGGGGAGCAAAAAGCGGUACGUGUACCGCAUCGAGAGUACACGGAGAAACAGCAUCGGCUAACUCCGGGCCAGCAGCCGCGGUAAUACGGAGGAUGCGAGCGUUAUCCGGAUUUAUUGGGUUUAACGGGUGCGAGGUGGGCGAGUUAAGUCAGCGGGAAAAUUUCGGGGCUCAACCCCGACAAGCCGUUGAAACUGGCAUGCUAGAGUGGGCGAGAGGUAUGCGGAAUGCGUGGUGUAGCGGUGAAAUGCAUAGAGAUCACGCAGAACUCCGAUUGCGAAGGCGGCAUACCAGCGCCCAACUGACGCUCAGGCACGAAAGCGUGGGUAUCGAACAGGAUUAGAUACCCCUGUAGUC
rnacentral:rRNA from 1 species